rnacentral:tRNA from 1 species
GGGUAAUAGUUUAAUAGGUAGAACGUUCGGGUGUUUUCCGAAAGAUUGGGGUUCGAGUCCCUAUUGCUCCA